rnacentral:misc_RNA from 1 species
AACGCACAUUGCGCCCCCUGGUAUUCCGGGGGGCAUGCCUGUCCGAGCGUCAUUUCUGCCCUCAAGCGCGGCUUGUGUGUUGGGCGUGGUCCCCCCCCGUUGCGUGGGGGGACCUGCCCGAAAGGCAGCGGCGACGUUCCCGUCCAGGUCCUCGAGCGAAUGGGGCUCUGUCACCCGCUCGGGAGGGGCCUGCGGGCGUUGGUCACCCACGAUAUUGUUUCCACGGUUGACCUCGGAUCAGGUAGGAGUUACCCGCUGAACUUAA